rnacentral:rRNA from 1 species
GUUGCCAACAGGUUAAGCUGGGAACUCUAAUGAAACUGCCGCCGUAAGGCGUGAGGAAGGAGGGGAUGAUGUCAAGUCAUCAUGGCCUUUAUGCCCAGGGCUACACACGUGCUACAAUGGUCAGGACAAAGGGCUGCUACCUAGCGAUAGGAUGCUAAUCCCAAAAACCUGAUCUCAGUUCGGAUUGGAGUCUGCAACUCGACUCCAUGAAGCUGGAAUCGCUAGUAAUCGUAUAUCAGCAAUGAUACGGUGAAUACGUUCCCGGACCUUGCACACACCGCCCGUCAAGCCAUGGGAGCCGGGUGUACCUAAAGUCGGUAACCGAAAGGAGCUGCCUAGGGUAAAAUCGGUGACUGGGGCUAAGUCGUAACAAGGUA